AGCAGGUCCCAAGGGUUGGGCUGUUCGCCCAUUAAAGCGGUACGCGAGCUGGGUUCAGAACGUCGUGAGACAGUUCGGUCCCUAUCCGGCGCGGGCGGAGGAUAUUUGAGAGGAGCUGCCCCUAGUACGAGAGGACCGGGGUGGACGGACCACUGGUGUAUCAGCUGUCGACCAACGGCAUAGCUGAGUAGCCAAGUCUGGACGGGAUAAACGCUGAAGGCAUCUAAGCGUGAAGCCCCCCUCAAGAUGAGAUAUCCCCUCCUUCAAGGAGAUAAGAUCCCUUAAAGACGAUAAGGUAGAUAGGUUCAAGGUGUAAGUGUAGUAAUGCAUUCAGCUGAUGAAUACUAAUAGAUCGAAGGUUUAUUCU
rnacentral:rRNA from 1 species